UGGGGAAUUUUGGACAAUGGGGGAAACCCUGAUCCAGCCAUCCCGCGUGUGCGAUGAAGGCCUUCGGGUUGUAAAGCACUUUUGGCAGGAAAGAAACGUCAUGGGUUAAUACCCCGUGAAACUGACGGUACCUGCAGAAUAAGCACCGGCUAACUACGUGCCAGCAGCCGCGGUAAUACGUAGGGUGCAAGCGUUAAUCGGAAUUACUGGGCGUAAAGCGUGCGCAGGCGGUUCGGAAAGAAAGAUGUGAAAUCCCAGGGCUCAACUUUGGAACUGCAUUUUUAACUACCGGGCUAGGGUGUGUCAGAGGGAGGUGGAAUUCCGCGUGUAGCAGUGAAAUGCGUAGAUAUGCGGAGGAACACCGAUGGCGAAGGCAGCCUCCUGGGAUAACACUGACGCUCAUGCACGAAAGCGUGGGGAGCAAACAGG
rnacentral:rRNA from 1 species